AUUCUACUCCCUCCGUUGCACAAUACAUGCCUUCUAUUUGUCAAAAUAUAUAUGUAUCUAGACAUGUUUUAGUAUAUAGGUACAUCCAUUUUUGGACAAAUGGAAGUCAAGUAUUUUGGAACGGAUGGAGUACACA
rnacentral:pre_miRNA from 1 species